UUAGCGCUGGUUCUCAGUGGCGGGAGGCUGCUGAGAGGACGAGGAAGAGGUUGUCGAGAAGGUCAGCGGAUGCCUCUCGGCCGGCCCGGUCGAAAGAAACCAGACAAAACCGGAAAGUGAUUUCCGGGACAAAGCUGG
rnacentral:ncRNA from 1 species